rnacentral:lncRNA from 1 species
UUUUUUUUUUUUUUUUGCUUUUUAGGGCUGCACCUGUGGCAUAUGGAAGUUUCCAGGCUAGAGGUCAAAUCGGAGCUGCAGCUGCCUGCCUACACAGCAAUGCUGGAUCCUAGUCACGUCUAUGACCUACAUCAUAGCUCGUGGCAACGCCAGAUCCUUUAACCCACUCAACGAGGCCAGGGAUCAAACACGCAUCCUCAUGGAUGCUGGUCAGGUUCAUGACCUGCUGAGCCACAACAGGAGCUCCUGUGCAGUUACUUUAAAAGGAAAUUCUUUCUAAUUAGGAUAUUAAAAGAUAUUUAACGUCCUUAGCCAUCAGAGAAGAGCAAAUCAAAACCACAAUAACAAGGAGUUCCCGUCGUGGCGCAGUGGUUAACAAAUCCGACUAGGAACUAUGAGGUUGCGGGUUCGGUCCCUGCCCUUGCUCAGUGGGUUAACGAUCCGGCGUUGCCGUGAGCUGUGGUGUAGGUUGCAGACGCGGCUCGGAUCCCACGUUGCUGUGGCUCUGGUGUAGGCCAGUGGCUACAGCUCCGAUUCAGCCCCUAGCCUGGGAACCUCCAUAUGCCGCCGAAGCGGCCCAAGAAAUAGCAACAACAACAACAACAAAAAAGAGAGACAAAAGACAAAAAAAAAAAAAACCACAAUAACAAGAUACUAUUUCACACCCAUAAGGAUGCAGUAAUCAAGAAGAAAGAUAAUAAAGUGUUGGUGAGGACACGGAGAAAUUGGAAACAUCAUGCACUGCUGGUGGGAAAGAAAAAUGGCACAGCUGCUUUGGAAAAUAGUCUGCCAUUUCCUCAACUGGUUAAAAAUAAAACCAACUUACAACCCAACAAUUCUACUCCUACGUAUAUACCCAAGAUAACUGAGACCACCUGUCUACACAAGAACUUGUACGUGAAUGUGCAUGGCAGCAUUAUUCAUCAUAGCCACAAAGUGGAAACUCAAAUACCCGUCAACUGGGUAAAUAAAAUGUGAUACGUCCUUGCAAUGCACUAUUACUCAUCAAUUAAAAGGAAUAAAAGACUGCCACACACUGCAACAUGGAUGAACCUUGAAAAAACUACUAAGUGAAAGAAGCCAGAACCUGCUGCAUAGCACAGGGAACUAAGUUCAGUCACUUGAGAUGGAACAUGACGGAGGAUAAUGUGAGAAAAAGAAUACAUAUGUAUGGCUGGAUCACUUUGCUGUAUAAUAGAAACUGACAGAACACUUUAAAUCAACUAUAAUGGAAAAAAUAAAAAUCAUAAAAAAGAAAGAAGCCAGACACAAAAGGCCACAUAUUGUAUGAUUUCCUCUAUAGGAAAUGCCCAGUGGAGGCAAAUCUAUAGAGAGAGAAUGCAAAUUAGCAGUUGCCAAGGGGUUGGAGUCAGGGGCAGAGCAUAAGAGGAUUUGGGGAUUGAUGCUUAAGGAGUAAGGAAACUUUUCUAAAAUUGUAGGAUAAAGAAAAUUUUCCACAGUUGUGGUGAUGGAUGCACAACUCUAUAAAUAACUAAAAGCCACUGAAAUGUGCACUUUAAAUGAGUGACUUGUCGGGUAUGGGGAUUACAUCUCAAUAAAGUGUUUCUCUGGGUUUUUCUUUAGGGGCGCACCUGUGGCAUAUGGAGCGGCUCAAGAAAAAAAAAUAAAUAAAUAAAAAUAAAGAGGGGAACUGGAUGGCUGAGAGAUGCAGAGUAGGAGAGAGACCUGGUUUCUAACUUAAAUUUUAUGGAUGCACCCAAUUCCCAGGCCAGGGAUUGAAUCUGAGCCACAGCUACAAUCUAUGCCGCAGCUCUGGCAAUGCCAGAUCCUUUAACCCACUGCGCUGGGCAGGGGAUCAGACUUGCACCUCUGCAGCAACCUGAGCUGCUUCAGUUGAAUUCUUUAUUUUUUAUUUUUUUGUCUUUUUGCCUUUUCUAGGGCCGCUCCUGCGGUGUAUGGAGGUUCCCAGGCCAUAAAAAGCAAAAAAAAAAAAAAAAAAGUUGAACACAACACCUAUGCGCCCACCACCCAGCAUAAAAACCACUACCACACUGCUGCAUGCCCACAUGUGCCUCGCCAGUCACAUCACUCCACCCUGAAGGGAUCCGCUUACUUACAUUUGGAUCUUAUCGUGCCCACGUCUUUCAUACAUUUACUACACUCCAAAUAUCUAUAAUCAAUAUGCAUUAUUCUGCACGCUUUUUGUUUUGGCCACACCAGUGGCAAGUGGAAGUUCCCAGGCCAGGGAGUGAUCCUACACCCCAGCAGUGGCAAUGCCAGACCCUUAACCCACUGAACCACAAGAGAGCUCCUAUUUGACAUCUUUAAAACUACAUUCUUCUGCAGUUUGCUUUUAUCACUCCACGUUUUGCUUUAUUCAUGUCGAUAGGUGCAACUUUAGUUCAUUUUCAAUGAAGUAUAAUAGUCCACAUCAAAUAUAAAAUACAUCCAAUACUGAUGUAUAAUUUUCCAAGAUGGCCACACGGUGAUCUCUCACCCCUUAUGCUCUUCUUACAAUGAGACACUGCCAUUCCUGUCAUUGAGAAGGAGGGCCCCUCCUCUUGAAUCUGGGUGGGCUAGCAACAGUGGCAGAAAUGAAGCAAUGUGACUUCCCAUGCUAGGUUAGAAAAGGUGAGAGUUUUCCCCGGCUUUCUCGAGAAGCUUGCUCUUGGAACCCAGCUGCCAUGUUGCAAGGAAGCCCAGGCAAAAUGAAGAAGCCACAAGUAGGCAUUCUGGCUGCCAGCCCAAGCUGAGGUUUCAUCCAAGUGCCCGUACCAGUUAGCCACCAGACACCCGAGGAGGUUUCCACGAGGACACCAGCCCUGGCCAAGAUCUUAUAGCAAGCACAUGAGAGCCCCCGAGGUACAACCCAGGUCUAACUGAGCACAGUCAACUCCCAGAACCAUGAGAGAUAAUGAUUAUUGAUUUAAGCCACCAAGUUUCAAGGUAAUUCAUUAUUAUGCAUUAAAUAAUCAGAACAUCUAUGCCAUAAUCUCUCCAUUCUUCAACUGGUGCAUGUUUGGGUUGUCUCCAAGUUUAUGCUGUUGCAACAGUGAUCCUGUGAACAUUCUUAUGCACGUGCCAUG